GUCCCCAUCGUCUAGAGGCCUAGGACAUCGCCCUUUCACGGCGGUAACGGGGGUUCGAAUCCCCCUGGGGACGCAA
rnacentral:tRNA from 1 species